AGCCCUACCCGGCGCCGCCUCCAUUGUUCCCAGUCGCUCUCAGAACUUCCCCCAAGGCCCAGCAAGCCAUCCACUGCACACGCGUGGACCUCGGGUUCCUUUGUGCGGAGCCUCCACCGAGGGCGGUGGGCCUCAGGUCUGCCCAGGCGGCAGGCAGCUCUCUCGGUCGGGCCGAAGCCAGACCUGGGUGCCGGGGCCACGGACCAGGGGCUGACAGGAACUCAGAUGAAAUGCUUCAAAGUUAGAGCCAUUGGCAGCAGUUUGAAUUAGGCAAAGUAAGUUUUGCGUUCAUGAGAAUGGAUGCAGUCUGCUAUGCAUUUUCAGGCAUAUUGGUCAUCUGCAAAUACCUUACUUGCAAAAUCUGGUGGAUUUAGGUGUAGAUAAAAUAGCCCACAGAGCUGCUGGCCUCCUCAGGAGCCUGGUCUGUCCUCUGGUGUGGGGAGGGCACCCUAAAGGGCUCAGGGGGGCUGGCAGUCAGGCCUCAGAUGCACAGCUCCAGCCAUAUCUGUGUGCAGAUGGGCCAGCUUCGGGCCACCCCCGCCCCAGCC
ensembl:lncRNA